rnacentral:lncRNA from 1 species
UUAGAAGUUAAUUCUAUGUGCUUCUUUAUACUUUAUAGCACUAGGAGUAGUAAGUAUGAGUUAUAAUAAAGAAGAAAUUAAAUAAUACUUUGUUAUAACUGGUUAACGAAUAUGUACUGAUAAUGCAGCACUAUAGUGUAUUGGGUAAAAAUUUUACGUGGUGUCCUAGUUGGUUGCGUCGCCCCCAUUUAACUUAUAUCCAUAUUUUUAAGAUUAUUUAAUUUAUACCCUAAUUUUUACAACCCCUCCUUCUUCCUGCUACUUGUGUGCUCCUUUCUUCCUCUUUUUCUUUCUGAAAACACAGAUAAAAAAUGGAGAAAUUGAAAACAGUUCCAAGAAUGGAAUCAAAACUACAAUAAUUUCAGUUACUGAAUAACAUGAACAGGGCAACUUGAUACUCCAUAAUAGCACUGCUACUACAUACUACUGUUGUAUUAUACUUGAUUUGGAUUCCUAAGAAAACAAAGCAAAUACUAAGAGAUGAAGCUGAAAAUGAGCUACUUCCAUGGCUGUCCAGAAGCAUCGUUACAUUAACGAUCAAAUAUCUGAAUUUCUGUAUCACUAAAAUUUUGCACAAAAUUUUAGUUUAUUUAGUGCUGAAGUUUUCUUCACAAAUGAACUAAAUGAAUUUAACAUCUUCUGCUGGAAUUUUUGAAAAAGCGUUAUGAUUGGAGUUUUUAAAAAGCUUUAUGACAAAAUGAAUGAUUCCAACACAAAACUUCAGCUUAAUUAGUGCUAAAGUUUUUACAAAUAAACUAAAUAACUUCAGCAUUUUCUGCUAAAUUUUUUGAAAAAGCUUUAUGACAAAACUAAUGAAUCCAGAAUAAAACUUCAGCUUAUUUUCUGCUGAAGUUUUUGUAGACAUGUAAUUUUUGACCCUCACCAAGAUUUUACACAUUUUAGCAUAAAUAUUUAAUUUAGGUUUAAUAUCACUAUUCUAAAUAGCGUUAACUCUUUUACUUUAUUUUACAAUGAAAAAAUAAAAAAAUUUACCAAAAAAUAUUUUUUCAUCUUUAGGUUAAAGUCAAUUAGUAUAUUUGUAUUAAAAUUAUUAUAAUAUUUGAAAAUACAAAAAAAUUAGUUUCACUCAUAGUAUUUAGUUUUAUAUUAGUUUGUUUUAAUUUAGAGUGAUUUUUAUAUUUUUAUAGAUACAUUGUAUUAUUUGGUCUUUUUAGCCUAUGUUCAAAAUCAAAAGUUAUGGUCCAACCCAAUUACCCUUAGCCCGUCUUUCCAACUCAUUAGGUUAUUUAAGUGCAAAAUUUAAUUAUAGCUAUCUAUUUCCUUCUACUGCAAUGGUUAUCAUGUCAUUCCACCUCCAUAUAAAAUACUCAAUUAGAAAAAAUCGUACCCUAAGUUUUCAAUUCCUAGAGCCUAAGACCCUAGAACCUAGGAUUGCCUUCAGGCGUUUCCUUUCUUCUUCGUUAGACCCAAAAUUCCAAAAAGAGGACGGCUACCCGUACCCUCAACGAAUUCCAGAGCCAAUAACCUCUCUGAUUUGAAAAAGGACUGAAGACAAUUUGGGAUUCCCUAUAAUAAAUUCCAAAGCGGACAACACUAACAAUAAAAAAGUCGUGCUAUUGUCAGAUACUACUCUAAUAUAUACUCAUUUGAUCAGAGGUACAAGGAUUUGCCCGAAUUUUCAAGAAUUUUCGAGCUAUUUAGUGGCCCAGGAUACUCUUUCAAGCGCUGAUUCACCUCGAAGGACGUCUGGCCUAUUAAGAGAUCAAGUUCAACUGGUAAAAAGAAGCAACUCUGCUCGCUAUGAGAUAAUCCCAAUUCGAGGUCAAGUAUCAUUUGAGAAGGGUUUCUGUAUAGUUUUCUGUGUAUGCCAGUUGUCGGUUCAGAAGAGUGAAGAUGAUUGUCGGUGGGGAUCACAGGCUUAGGGUGUCGAUGUGAGGUUCCGGUUAGUAAUUUUGAUGUUUUAGUCAAAAGAUUGUUGCUUUGUUUAGCCCGAUUGAUUUAUAAUUUUCGAUAUUUUUCACCAAUAAAAGGUCUAUUUAUUAUUCUCAUUUCAUUGUGUAUGAUAGUUUGGUGCGUGUGUUGAUUGAUUUGUGAUUCUACGUUGUUUGAGUAGAAUGCCUUAGUUUUCAUUUAAAGUAUUUUAAUUAGUUUUUAUUUCGAUCGUGAUGCAUUUAGUCUUGGGUUCUCGAAUAAAUAAUUUUAAUCGAGUAGAUAGAAAAAUUGGAGUUUUCUUUCUUGGCAAGGAAUAAGAAUGAGCCGAAAGUUAGGCCUUGGACCAUAAGAAAUCCGACCAAGUAAUAGGUCUUGUUAGCUAGACUAUUUGCUCCCCAAUAGUAUCUUGUUCGUAAAUUUGGCAUCUCAAUAAUCUAAAAAUUUAGGAAGAAUAAUGAACAUCGUCAGAGUGUUUUAGGCAUGUUUUGAAUUUAUUAUCGUGAUUAUGUAAACAUUCGCAUGACAUAGCCAUGAUUUCCAAAAUUAAAAUCAAGGUAUGCGUUCGCGCAACUUUGGACGCAACAAUCUUAAUUGACAAAAGCGUGAUUAAUUGUGUACACGUAUGCGUGACAUGAUUCUUGACGCGCCAAACAAAAUGAAUACAUACGCGUGAUAAAGUGGUAAAAGGUAAAAUGCACAUAAGUUCUAAAACACGUAAUUAAACAAUUUGAUUAAGCCAAGUAUGAUCAGAGCGACUGUGAUAAAAUUACAGAAUCCGAGAAUACUUAACAACUUCUUCUGGGUUAACAAAAUUUCUUACCCGAAUUUCUGUGUUCGUAGACCGUAAAUAGAGUCUAAUUUUCUCGAUUGGGGAUUUGAAACCGGUGACUUGGGACACCAUAAAUUAUCCCAAGUGGCGAUUCUAAUUUUUAAAUAAUUAAUCCUGUUUCAAUUGUCACUUAAAUUUGAAAAAACUCCUUUAUACCCUUUCGGGGUAGUAAAAGAUGGUGUGACAGCUUUGGCGACUCUGCUGGGGAUAAGAACCCAGAUAUUUUGGUUCAGGGUUCAAGAAUUCGAGUUUGUUUUGUGAUUUUUAUUUGGCUUUAUUUAUUGUUCAUAUUAUUAUAUUACUGUAUUCCAACAAGUGGGAUUGCUCUGAUGGUAAGCAACCCCCACUUCCAUACCCCUGGCUUGGAUGUGAGUUAUAAGGUACUUCGAAAUUUUGCGGAGACUGGCAGAGAUUUUGUGAUGCUCGUGCUCGCUUUUUUGGGUAAUUUGAUGCUUCAACAACAUACUGGAGUGGAUCAACAGAGCAUGAUGGAUUCUGAGGUGGUUAGUGAUGCGUAGGGGGUCAUGGAAAACCUGAUGAGGCUGCACAUACCUUCGGGGUGUUUUCCUAGGAUCUCUUCUUGACCCUGAUAUCAUCAUGAUUUCUUCAUCCCCCUCAUUCGUUUUACCAUAUUCAAUUUGGACAGCCUGAGUUGCACCUUUAAGAGCAGUUUGACUUAUAAUUCUGCCCGUCUUAAGAUUCUCAACCAUUUCCCACAUUGUUAUUGCUUCCGGGAAGGAUUUACCCACUGCGGACGUCAUUUAUCGAAAAUAGUAUGGCUCUUGAGCAUGUAGAAAGACAGUGAUUAACUCGUGGUCAUCCAUGGGUGGGUUAGCUCUAGCUGCCUGCUAUCUCAAUUUGAUGGCAUAUUCCCCGAAACUUUCAGUUGGUUUCUUUUUCAUGUUAGAAAGGGAAAUAUGGUCUGGGGCGAUGUCGAUGUUUUAUUGAAAUUGUUUGACAAAGGUUCGUGCCAUGUCAUCCCAGACGUACCAACAAAAUGUGUCUUGAUUCAAAACCAUUCGGAUGUUACUCCCGUAAGGCUUUCCCCAAAAUAAGCUAUUAGCAAUUCUUCAUUUCUUCCCACACCUCUCNNNNNNNNNNNNNNNNNNNNNNNNNNNNNNNNNNNNNNNNNNNNNNNNNNNNNNNNNNNNNNNNNNNNNNNNNNNNNNNNNNNNNNNNNNNNNNNNNNNNNNNNNNNNNNNNNNNNNNNNNNNNNNNNNNNNNNNNNNNNNNNGGCUUAACCCUAGCUGCUUGCUCUCUCCAUCUAAUGGCAUAUUCCCUGAAACUUUCACUUGGUUUCUUCUUCAGGUUUGAAAGGGAAUUGCGGUCUGGGGAAAUGUCAAUGUGAUUGGAAUUGUCUGAAAAAGGCCUAUGCCAUGUCAUCUAGACGUACCGGCGAGAAGUGUCUUGAUCCAAAAACCAUUCGGAUGUUACUCCCGUUAGGCUUUCCCCAAAAUAAGCUAUCAACAAUCAUUCAUUUCUUCCCGCACCUCUUAGCUGAUUGCAAUACCUUUUUAGGUGGGCUAUGAGGUCUCCAUAUCCAUCAUACUUUUCAAAUUUGGGAAUCUUGAAACCAGGCGGCAAGUGGACAUCGGGGAACAUGCAUAGAUCUCUGAAGGAAACACUCUUUAGACCUGGCAUUCCUUGCGCGUUUUUCAAUUGUUGUUCUAAUCUUUUCAUUCUUUGGAUUAUUUUUUCCUGUACCCUCGUUCGAGCAGGAUUCUGACCUUGAGUCUCUUGAGCACUGGUAAUAGCUUUGGUGUCAGUCAUCAUUUUUUCUUGGAUCUUGUAUUUCCAGCUUACCAUAAACCGACCACCUCAACUUUCUUCACAAUUGAAAACAAAACAUGUUAUAACGGACUAAUUCGGUCCUCAUUAUUAACAUCUUUUUUUUUUGUGGUUGUGGUCAAAUCUUAUGGAAAUUGCCUACGUAUCAUGACCCCGUAUGAAUCAGACCUUGUGUAGUUCACACAGAUAUAAGGCAAACAAUCAAUGAAAUAUUUUUUUUUAGAUUUUUAUUUUUCAUAAUAAAACAAACUGAGUUUCAGAGGUUUAAAGAUGACCUACAAACUUGAAAAUCAAACAACCCACAUAUUUUAAUCAAAAGAAUUACAACUUCGAAAACAAACAGAACCUUCAUUUCCCUGUUUGCCAAUUUCAACCAAAUGACAAAUUUUGCAAACGUGGCCCCUUCUCAAUUUCUCAUUAAUUUUGAGGUCGAGGAGGAUCAUUUUAUGACAAUUCACAAACUUGUCUGUUUUUCACGAAAAUAUGAAAGAUACUCUAAGACUAUCUUGGCAAGAACAGUUUAAUACAUUGCCGAAGGUGGCUCGACUUAUUUUGACCAAAAUCCAAACGGCAUUCACUUACAUGUUGACUUUUUUUCAAAUUAAAAUAAGAGACCUGGUUUUACAAACACGACCUUUCAGCUCCUUGGGUACGAAGAAUUUAAGGCUGUGUGGGUCAAUCGGUCAAAAUCUAAAAGUGACCCAAAGGUGGCUGUUUAUACAAAGUCAGCCUUCCGACGUCCCUUUCAGGUACAUUUAGCUAUUUUUGACAAAAAUAACAUCACCAGACUUAUUUAUGACUCUUUCUCUUGUUUUUCAAAAUAGAAAACCCGAUAUAGCCAACACGACCUUUCAACGCCUCGGGGACGAAGCUUUUGAAGGCUGUGUGGAUCAACUUGACCAAAUCUAAAAAAUGACUCAAAGGUGGCUGUUUAUGCUAAGUCAGCCUUCCGGCGUCCCUUUCGAGAACAUUCGGCUAUGUUUUGACACAACAACGUCACCUGACUUCUUUAUGAUGAAAAAAUUAAAAUUUUAAAUUUUUUUUUUCCUAUUUUUGCAAAAGGGGAGGUUUGACCCGAUGAGGAUUGUCUGCAUAUCUCACAUCCGGUGAGAAUCAAACCGGCGUAGUUCAACAACUAACUAUUUUUUGAAAACAAGAUUCUUUUUCUUUUUAUCCUUUUAUGGCAAACAAAAAACUAUUUUUUUUUCCAUUUUUGAAAACAAGACAAAAUAAAAUAAAAGACCGAUUUUCACGCAUAUUUAGCUUUUUGAGUAAAACAAAUAAUUUAAAAAAGAUAAAAUAUUUCCUUUUUAUUUUCUCCAAAUUUUGGCAGAGUUUUGACCGUACUUGGACGUCGGUUUUUCUAAAAAUGAGUAGUUAUCUCUCUACACUGCCAUUUUUUCCUUUUUCAAUUUUUCAGAAUUCCCGAUUUCACAAGCCGGUCGGCAUGCAGGUUUGAAAAAAAUAAAUGUGCAAAACAAACAAGAUGUAGCAAGAUGGUCUUUUCGUUUCAGGUUGCUUUUCCUAGACGGGCACAACCCCUGUGUUGUGCCCCCUAAGUCAAAUGCAGCAUGAUGCAAAUAAACGUUCCUACUAGGGGCCUACAUAAAGUCUUGUCAUACUAGGUUAAAAAUCUGGGUUUAUUGUUGUAGACCUGGCUUACUCGAGCGGACGACUCGAGCCGAGGAGGGCUAGUGUAUCCGGUAGCAUUGCUUUCCGGCUUAACUGGAAGUGCUCCCGCCUAAAACUUGUGUGACUAAAAUCCUUCACCAGGUGCCAAGCACCUGAGCUAUCUCAAAGAAAGCGGGUUAUGUCAAGCAAAUGCCCAAUUUCGAUUUCAAGAAGACUCAGAUGGGGCGGCGCGUGAGAAAACAUUUUAUAUACACAGUUCAAAUUAUCAUUGCAGUAAAAAAUAACAUUUAGCACAUUGGCCAAAACAUGUUAUAAGAAUAAGAUAAUAAAUAAGCCAAAUACAACAAUUAUUCCAAGCUCGAAUUCUUGAACUGUGAACCAGAGAUUCUGGGUUCGUUCCCCAGCAGAGUCGCCAGAGCUAUCACACCUCCUUUUUACGCCCCCGCGAGGGUGCAGAAGAGUUUUUCCAAUUAAAGGACAAUCGAAACGGGAUUAUUUAUUAAAGAUUCAGAGUCGCCACUUAGGAAAUUUAUGGUGUCCUAAGUCACCGGUUAAAUCCCGAAUCGAGGAAAAUAAUGACUCUGUUUAACAGUCCGCGCACAAGAAAUCUCGAUAAGGAAUUCUGUUAACCCGAGAUUUAUGGUGUUCCAAGUGACCGGUUAAAUCCAAAAUCGAGGAAAAGAAUGACUCUGUUUAAAAUUCUGCGCACCAGAAAUUCGGAUAAGGAAUUUUGUUAACCCGGGAGAAGGUGUUAGGCAUUCCCGAGUUCCGUGGUUCUGGCACGGUCGCUCAACUGUCAUAUUUAGCUUACUUAUCUAAUUUUAUUACAUGAUGAACCUAUGUGUAAAUUUUAACUUUUAUCCGCUUUUAUUCAAAUUAUUAAAGAGGAUUGAACAUCGUCUGAGAUAUUUCUUAGGAUUGCGCAGCAUGAAAUGAACCUGCAAUCUUGAACACAUCUGAUUCGAUAUUUUGGGAUUUGGAUUUGGGUUGCAUGAAAUACACACCAGAAUUUCAGGAGGUAAAAUUAUUAAACACGCGCCUAAAGAGCCUAUCGCGUUAUUGUUUAGGAGAGACCGUGAAAUUCGCUCAACGGCCUGUUCCUAAAUCUAAGUAUUUUAAUACAAAUAAUUAUUGAGGGCCCCGAAUUGCAAUUUAUCAAAUUCAUUAAACGGCCUGUUCCGAAAUCUAAGUAUUUUAAUAAAAACAAUUAUAGAGGGCCUCGAAAAUUGCGACUUAUUUUGGCGAGGUACACCUCAUUUAUUUUAAAGAUAUCCUAAAGUGACUACAUUUCUAUUAAGUUUGUCUCUAAUUUUAAGAGAAAUCCUUGUUAAUUACAUGCUUGAAAAGGGCUAUCAAUUAUUGGUUAAAAACUUAUCUACAAUUGAAACUGCGCAAAGAAAAGUUAUUUCAUGCCUUUAUUCUAUAAGCCAAUAUUCCUAAGACUUGAAAAUAGAUAAAGUACGGGAUUUACAAAUAAUGUUCUCAAAAUAAACUAAUUAUUAUUUAAUUAAAUCAAACCUACGUGGCUGUACGAAUUACCCAUUGGAAUUACCUACUUACAACUAUUAGAAAUAAAAAUUGACCUUAAUUACUAAAGCUUUGUAAAAAGCUUGUUAACUUGAUUGGCAUUUACAAAAAAAUCUAUUACAAUUAAAGUAACUCUAAUGAGCCAUUAUUUGAACUUAACUCAUGCCUAUUAAUUAGUCACCUUAUACAAGAACAAUCCUAAUAUGUUUUACAUACAUAUAUUAUUUGUAUAACCGGAGAACACAUAAUAAGUAUCUAACUAAAAAUACAAAUAUUCUAUGUCAAAACGCAUAGAUUUUCUGGCUAUUUCACUUCAAUGUCAAGGCGUACAUCAAAGUGAUUCAAAGAGGUGUACCUGGUAUUGGAAUACAAAGAAGUGGAAGAUCAGUGGGGAGCAAUAGCAGCACACACACACAGCAACAUCAGUUCAACAACCCCGGAAUAAACCCGUAACAGUAGGAAUAGCCGAAAACCUAGGAGAUUACAACCAAGCAGAAAAACCAGGAAUUUCCAAAUCAACCGAAAACCAACAGUAAACCCAAGCAACACUACAUGAAUAUUAGUAGUACUAGAAAAUACACACAAGCGAAGCGGAGAAAGAACCAGUUGCAAGAGAAAGCAGUAGCUUCUGAUUUAUUUUAACACUCAAAGAAAAGAAACCUCAAACUUGAAUGAAACAAUAGCACUUAAGGCUGAUUUCAACAGUGAAAGAAAACUGAAAAUCUUCAGUAUGUAGCUCUCCAAAGCCUCCAACUCUAAUGUUUAGAAGUCUGUUUAUAUUUCCUUUUAAGUUUCUGAAAUUCUGCUCUCAAAAAUUCCGUCCCUUUAAGUGUCAAAUGAGUCCUCUUUUAGGCAGUCUUUUUCUUUUCUUUUUACCUCUUUCCUUUAACUUUUAAACUACUAUUACUAAUCCUUUUACCUCUUUUACUUUCUAGCCCAUAUUCUUCUAACUAUGUGACUUUUUAACUUUUUAUUAUUAACUAUUUUAUUUCUGAUUUGAAUUAAGAAAAAAGUAGUCAACGCGGACUCCACAGUCCCCCCUUUUUUCAUUGGUCAAAAAAGACCUCAUUAUUAAUCCCCUUUUACUUUUCAUAAUUAUGUCUUAUCCCCCACUAUAUUAUUUUAAUAAUACUUUAAUCUAGUGGACAAAGCACUUAAAUUAAAUAAUUGUUCAAAUUUUAAAUUCUAAUAAUACACCCAAAAUUACUAUAAAUUACUAUUAUACCCUUGUCAGCUCUAACCAAUUCACCUAAAUCAAUUAGCCAAAAUAUAGCAGCUAUAACCAAUUCUUAAUCAAAUUCAGUAACAAAUUCAAAUUAUAUGGUGAACAACAAAGAACCAACUAAAAAUUAUUUUAACUAAACAACAUUUUUAACAACAAACAUACUUUCAGAUUCAACAACAAUAACAAACAAGUAAAUUCAAAUCACUAAACUCAGAUUCAAAUUAAACUUAACAGCUCAAACAAACAAAUUCAAAUCUCUAACUCAGAUCCAAAUUUAGACUUAACACAAAAAUAAAACAGAUUCAAAUCACUAAACUCAAUAAUCAAUUGAACUUCAAAUUCAAUCUAACAAUAUUGCAACAAAGAUAAAAGAUUUAUUAAACUAAUACACUUCUAUAUUAAAACUAAAUUCAUUUAAAUGAAUAAAAAAACUUAAGAAAUAAAUAAGAAAAUGAUAACCAACUAACAAGAAAAUAAUCAAACAUAUGCUGAUGUUAGAUCCGAAAAUAUCAAACAAAAUACGAAUAAAAAUGAAACUUAAACCAACUAACCGGAUAAAAACCACGACAAACUCAAAUGGAAACAAAUCUGCCCGGAAACUUUGAAACCAAAAUAAACUCGAAUCUGCUCGAAAUCUCAACAACGACCUCGGACUGCUUACUCUUUGAACUUGAACGGAACCAAUAAUCAAUAGACAAACCUGGAGUUGGCGAAGAAGUUGAUGAUGCAACGAGAUGGGGUGCUUUGGGUUUUCGUUUGGAUGUGAUGAAUGAGUGGUCGUUGGUGGCUGGGGACGGGACAGUGGGGUCGUUAACUGGACGACGGUGGCUUAAUGAGGGGUAGAUAGUCGUGGUUGUUGGGAAAAAUGGGAAGGGCAGCCAUGUUUGACGGGCAGAUGAAGUUGGACGACAAAGACGUGGGUGGUUGACGGAAGGCGUCGUUGGUCGACUUGUUAUUUGGAUGGUUCAUGUCUGGAAAUAGUGGGGUGGUCUUUGAGAUGGGACGAACAACUGAAAGGGUCAUUUGGUUGGCGAUGAGUAGCUAUGGUCGCUUGAACAAAGCUGGUGGCGGGCACCGGCUGCGUCGAUGGUGGCGAGCUGACUGGGACGAUGAUGUGCUGGAGAUUAAUGCAGCAGCAGCUGCAUCGACGGUGGCGAGCUGACUGGGAUGACGACGUGACAGUGAUGGAGGACGACAGGCUGUGGCUAUGGAGUUUUUGUGGCUGGGUUAAGGCGAUGGUGGUGAUGGUGGUUCGACGUGGUUCAUGGGAGGAAGAUGUCGACAGAUAGUGAAGUGUUCUACGGAAAUGGUGGUUUGUCGACAAAGUGUUGGCGACGAUGGUAGUGAUUGGUUGUUUGAGCUGGUUCUGGCAGUAGGGAGGGGUCUUAGUGUUUGGUGAAGAAAAAGAGAGGCUAGGGUUUUUUGUUCUCUCUAGUUCAAAAAAUAUCUGAUGGGUUUUGAUUAUUUGGGGGUUGGACCGGAUCAAGGAUUUUGGGUUG